rnacentral:rRNA from 1 species
UACGAAGGGGGCUAGCGUUGUUCGGAAUUACUGGGCGUAAAGCGUGCGCAGGCGGCUGCUCAAGUCAGGGGUGAAAGCCCAGAGCUCAACUCUGGAAUUGCCUUUGAGACUGAGUGGCUUGAGUACGGGAGAGGUGAGUGGAAUUCCCAGUGUAGAGGUGAAAUUCGUAGAUAUUGGGAGGAACACCAGUGGCGAAGGCGGCGACCUGGACGGACAUUGACGCUGAGACGCGAAAGCGUGGGGAGCAAACAGG